UACGAAGGGGGCUAGCGUUGUUCGGAUUUACUGGGCGUAAAGCGCACGUAGGCGGAUUGUUAAGUCAGGGGUGAAAUCCCGGAGCUCAACUCCGGAACUGCCUUUGAAACUGCAGUGCUAGAAUUCUGGAGAGGCGAGUGGAAUUCCGAGUGUAGAGGUGAAAUUCGUAGAUAUUCGGAAGAACACCAGUGGCGAAGGCGACUCGCUGGACAGACAUUGACGCUGAGGUGCGAAAGCGUGGGGAGCAAACAGG
rnacentral:rRNA from 1 species